GCCGGUUUAGCUCAGGGUAGAGCGCCGUCAUCGUAUGACGGAGGUCGGGAGUUCAAGUCUCUUCAACCGGCACCA
rnacentral:tRNA from 1 species